UAGGGAAUCUUCGGCAAUGGACGAAAGUCUGACCGAGCAACGCCGCGUGAGUGAAGAAGGUUUUCGGAUCGUAAAACUCUGUUGUUAGAGAAGAACAAGGACGUUAGUAACUGAACGUCCCCUGACGGUAUCUAACCAGAAAGCCACGGCUAACUACGUGCCAGCAGCCGCGGUAAUACGUAGGUGGCAAGCGUUGUCCGGAUUUAUUGGGCGUAAAGCGAGCGCAGGCGGUUUCUUAAGUCUGAUGUGAAAGCCCCCGGCUCAACCGGGGAGGGUCAUUGGAAACUGGGAGACUUGAGUGCAGAAGAGGAGAGUGGAAUUCCAUGUGUAGCGGUGAGAUGAGUAGAUAUAUGGAGGAACACCAGUGGCGAAGGCGGCUCUCUGGUCUGUAACUGACGCUGAGGCUCGAAAGCGUGGGGAGCAAACAGG
rnacentral:rRNA from 1 species